GACGAACCGUGCGAACGUUGUUCGGAAUCACUGGGCUUAAAGGGCGCGUAGGCGGGUUUGCAAGUCUGCGGUGAAAUCCUCCAGCUUAACUGGAGAAGUGCCGUGGAUACUGCGGAUCUCGAGGAGGGUAGGGGCAUCUGGAACGUUGGGUGGAGCGGUGAAAUGCGUUGAUAUCCAACGGAACUCCGGUGGCGAAGGCGAGGUGCUGGACCCUUUCUGACGCUGAGGCGCGAAAGCCAGGGGAGCAAACGGG
rnacentral:rRNA from 1 species